GACGAACGCUGGCGGCGUGCUUAACACAUGCAAGUCGAACGGUAAGGCCCUUCGGGGUACACGAGUGGCGAACGGGUGAGUAACACGUGGGUGAUCUGCCCCGCAAUUCGGGAUAAGCCUGGGAAACUGGGUCUAAUACCGGAUAGGACCCUGGGAUGCAUGUCCUGGGGAGGAAAGCUUUUGCGGUGUGGGAUGGGCCCGCGGCCUAUCAGCUGGUUGGUGGGGUGAUGGCCUACCAAGGCGACGACGGGUAGCCGGCCUGAGAGGGUGACCGGCCACACUGGGACUGAGAUACGGCCCAGACUCCUACGGGAGGCAGCAGUGGGGAAUAUUGCACAAUGGGCGCAAGCCUGAUGCAGCGACGCCGCGUGAGGGAUGACGGCCUUCGGGUUGUAAACCUCUUUCAGCACCGACGAAGCGCAAGUGACGGUAGGUGCAGAAGGAGGACCGGCCAACUACGUGCCAGCAGCCGCCGUAA
rnacentral:rRNA from 1 species